rnacentral:lncRNA from 1 species
CUCAGCCUUGUGGAGGUCAGCCUUUGAGAGCUCGACUUUUUGGAAGCUCAGCCUUGUGGGGGUCAGCCUUUGGAAGCUUGACUUUUUAAAAGUUGAUUUUUGGAAGCUUGGCUUUUUGAAAGCUCAGCUUUGUGGAGGUCAGUCUUUGGAAGCUUGCCUUUUUGAAGCUCGACUUUGAAGGGAUCGGCCUUUUAUAGCUCAGCCUUUGGUAGCUUGGCUUCUACCUC